GAAGCCCGCGUGCUCGUGCUGUCUCCGGGCUCCUGCCGGGGUGUGUGGUUGCCAGCGAGAUUUGCACGGAAAUAAUUGUUUCUUCUUCAAAGAGAAAAAGAAAACGAAAUGAAAUGAACCCCCACUGUUGUUCGGUGAGACCUGAGACACACCACUUCAGUUCUAGCGGGCAGCCGGCUGGGGACCCUCCGUGCAAAAUAAGUCACGUUUUGAGGACCGGGGGUGGAGGGGGCGUACCGACUUUCAAGAACUUGAAACUGUACUGAGCCUGAGAGAGAGACAACGAGGCGUGUGCAACACACAACCAUCGCAGUAAUCCUGCUGCUCUCCAUCACAGGGGACAUAGCUAUAGGUAUUUACAUGUCAUCAUGUUUGCCUCUCGAUGCAGGUUCCUGUGUUUGGUUUUACAUACGAGAUGACAUCCAUCAUGUCAAAGAAGUUGGCAGCUACGGCCAUGUCCACGCAAAGCCGGAGAGCCAGAGUCAGCAUUGAUGGGCGUCUGCAGAGCAGAAGUGGGAGGGGUUGAGAAAUUGCUGACUCUGAUGGAAAAACUUAAGGCAACUAAUGUUUGUAAGGGCCUCUCUGAAACAUUACUGGGGUGAACUUUCACUUGGAGAAGUUAUCAAAUGCAAAAACCCAUCAUUUCGAUACAGCUUUCUUGCUCCUGCCUCAAUGUCAUCCUACUUUGGACCUCCUCUCUCAUGCUCACUUGUGUACACACACGCACAGACACUUUCACAGCACAGCAGGCUGGUGCUGGGGCUGGUGAACAGCUGCACAGGCUCUGAAGUAGACAGACAGAUGAGGCCUGUGCUAACACCCUGGACCUAAACAUCUUGAAACCCUGAAAGCAACAACUGGACGUGGCUGUGAACAACACAUCUUUGGGACGAAACAUAUAGAAAUGUCCCUGCUCCCUAGUUCGUCAGCCAAGGGCAGAAAUCUCUUUCUCUGCCGGUAUCUUCCCACGGUUAAAAAGUGUCUCACCCAAGGCCGGAAUUAGGGUGCUGAGCCCUGCACAUCCUGUGUGAGCCUUAUGUGCUGGGAAGCCGCCCAUUACAGACAGCGCCGUUGCCUUCCUGCCUUCCUUGCAGAACCUCCCAACUAUGCAUCCUGAGCCUUUUCUUUUUAAUUCUCUUGGAUUUAACACAGAUCCCCUUUAGAGCAAGAAAGGAGCAGAAAGAAAGGUGCGGUCCGUUACUCACCGAGCAAGCUGCUGAGGCCUCUCUGACAAGCUACCGGUUUUGUUUUCUUCCGCUACCACCCCAAGUCAACCAUCCCCUGUUAAUUAGCAUGCCCUUUAUCUCCCCUUUGCAUGCUGUGGCACUCCUCCCUCCAAGGGAAAUGAAUGAAAGGAAACCCCAACUUGCUGUUAAGUUACAACUUCCCGCGCCAAUAAUGUGGGCUGAGACAGACAUACGUUAUCGGUUUCUCCUGUGUCAGGGCUCAUUGCUGUUCAUCCACAAAGAGCCGUAGAAGUGAAGGUCUUACCUGUGUUUGCGAUGGGAGCCCAGAGGUAGACGCACCAAAUCACUGAUCUUCUCCCCAACCUCUGUUAAGCUUCAAGGCAGAAAGAGAAGGUUGGAUAUUGGGUUAUGGGGCAUUAACUGACAUCUUCAUUCCAGCGACUUCAUUGUGCUGCCAUUUUUUAUUUUUUUUUUAAUAAAACAGGAAAUGUGCUAAGCCACAAUGCUUAUCCCCGGUUCCUGUCUCGUUAGUCUGUGACAUGGUACAGAAAGCUAGCAGGCAACUUGAAGCCCAGUUCAGUAUGGUGGUUUGGGUAUCUUGAGAUGUAAGAAGUCUGGACUUUUGCUAUCACCAGCCACCGUUAUCCCUCACUGCACAUGGAAGCGGUACAUGGAUCCAGGAAGCUAUGCCCACAGCACAGCAGGUCUUUUAUUAUGCUUGCUGAUUCCUGCCAAUUCCAAGGGGCCUGGGGUUAGGUAAUUCCACCCAGGGUAUAAGAGCAGUUGGUGUGAAUGGAGCAGCCCUGGAAGAAAUCCCUCGGACAAGCUUAGCUCGGGUGACAUGGCUCAGCUCUGUGUUACAUUGCUUCCAUUUUAUCUGCCGAUGAAACAGCUGCCUUGGGAAG